UACGGAGGGUGCAAGCGUUAAUCGGAAUUACUGGGCGUAAAGCGCACGUAGGCGGUCUGUUAAGUCAGAUGUGAAAUCCCCGGGCUUAACCUGGGAACUGCAUUUGAAACUGGCAGGCUUGAGUCUUGUAGAGGGGGGUAGAAUUCCAGGUGUAGCGGUGAAAUGCGUAGAGAUCUGGAGGAAUACCGGUGGCGAAGGCGGCCCCCUGGACAAAGACUGACGCUGAGGAGCGAAAGCGUGGGGAGCGAACAGG
rnacentral:rRNA from 1 species